rnacentral:rRNA from 1 species
UACAGAGGUGGCAAGCGUUGUUCGGAUAUACUGGGCGUAAAGCGCACGUAGGCGGCGCCGUAAGUCAGGGGUGAAAUCCCGGAGCUCAACUCCGGAACUGCCCUUGAAACUGCAGUGCUAGAAUCUUGGAGAGGCGAGUGGAAUUCCGAGUGUAGAGGUGAAAUUCGUAGAUAUUCGGAAGAACACCAGUGGCGAAGGCGACUCGCUGGACAAGUAUUGACGCUGAGGUGCGAAAGCGUGGGGAGCAAACAGG